rnacentral:lncRNA from 1 species
CACCGUCUCCGGCAGGCAGGCUCUGGGGUCUGGGCGCCUCCGCGGCCUGCCCGGGCCCGCUCUUCCACUCGGUCCCCCAGUUAGCCGCGCUUCUCAGUAGCUCCAAAGCUAUACAGACAAUUUGUUUAGUGAAGCUCCUCAGACAAUGGAAAGUUACGAGGUUUCCUGGAUGUUGUGUUCGGGAGGCGGGGCCGGGACCCGCUGAAGGCGGUUUCCCCAGCCCCGUUCCCCCCCUCUCUGCCCCCCUCAGCCACCGGGCAGCAGAAAGAGGCGGCCAGCCUUCUCCUGCCCUUCAGCUGGAGGACCUACGGCUGCCGCGCCCGCCACCUCUGCACCUGCCAGGCUGAGGGUGGAGGGAAGAUCAGCUGGCGGGGAGAGCCUGGUUCCCGAGAUGAUCAGAUUUGAAGGGUAUUCUGAAAAAGCUCCUCCGCUGUCAAAGUUACUGGCUGCCCUCGCCCAGCCCCUCUCCGUGGGUUCUCCAGAACAAGCGCCCCGAGCCGGCGAAGCUCAGAUCAGCAUCCACGCCGAAGCGAAGGCGAGAAUUUGCUGCGUGCGGGCCCAGUCGGGAUAAGUCUUCGCAGCGCGCGGUAAGCCGGGCGCCCCACGGCUGGCCUUUUGCUUUGAGCGAGCAUACGUCUUCUUCUCCGCCAGGUAGCACUGGAAGGAGGAAGCGAUCUCUAGAUUUCCAAUUACAAGACCCUGGAUAGUAACGGGGCGUCUUUGUUUGUUUCUUUCGUUUUGCCUUAGCCAGAGUUGAUUGGAAAUCGUAUGACAGGAAAAUAACCUGUGUGGCGAAAUCCGGGCAGAACCAGGAAAGCUAAUAGCAUCUGGGAGCAGGAGCGAGAUUAUCAGAGGCGUUUUCUGGUGUUUUUGGACAGGUUGAGAGCCCCCGAAAUCCAGAUU